GGAGGGUUGCCCGAGUGGCCAAAGGGAGCAGACUGUAAAUCUGCCGGCUUACGUCUUCGAUGGUUCGAAUCCAUCACCCUCCA
rnacentral:tRNA from 1 species